rnacentral:rRNA from 1 species
ACGCAUGUUCGACCGCCCGUCGUUAUCACUGUGAAGAAAACAGCGUGUUCAAGGCAGCCGCUUGCAGGUUGGAUGACAAAGCAUGGAAUGACAAAGCAUCGACCAGUUGGUCCGUCUUUUGUCGGUUUUUACGAUCAAUUUGGAUAAUUUGUUUACGAAGCCUUCCUUCGCCGUUUUACGGUGUUGGAACUUCGUCGAACACGGGAUUAAUGGGGGUUGUCGGGGGAAAACGUAUCUGAGCGUGAGAGGUGAAAUUCUUAGACCGCUCGGGGACGAACUUAUGCGAAGGCAUUUUCCAAGUAUACCUUCAUCAAUCAAGAACUAAAGUGUGGAGAUCGAAGAUGAUUAGAUACCAUUGUAGUCCACUACUGCAAACGAUGACGCCCAUGGAUCGGAUAGUUUUUUGCUCCGAUGGGAUCUUUUCGGCACUGCUCCCCCUUCAACGCGAAAGCUGAGGCUAUGGUCUCAUGGGGGAGUACGUUCGCAAGGCUGAAACUUAAAGAAAUUGACG